rnacentral:rRNA from 1 species
ACGGAAGGCAGCAGUGGGGAAUAUUGCACAAUGGGCGAAAGCCUGAUGCAGCGACGCCGCGUGAGUGAUGAAGUAUUUCGGUAUGUAAAGCUCUAUCAGCAGGGAAGAUAAUGACGGUACCUGACUAAGAAGCACCGGCUAAAUACGUGCCAGCAGCCGCGGUAAUACGUAUGGUGCAAGCGUUAUCCGGAUUUACUGGGUGUAAAGGGAGCGCAGGCGGUACGGCAAGUCUGAUGUGAAAGCCCGGGGCUCAACCCCGGUACUGCAUUGGAAACUGUCGAACUAGAGUGUCGGAGGGGUAAGUGGAAUUCCUAGUGUAGCGGUGAAAUGCGUAGAUAUUAGGAGGAACACCAGUGGCGAAGGCGACUUACUAGACGAUAACUGACGCUGAGGCUCGAAAGCGUGGGGAGCAAACAGGAUUAGAUACCCUGGUA